rnacentral:rRNA from 1 species
UACGAAGGGGGCUAGCGUUGUUCGGAAUUACUGGGCGUAAAGGGCGCGUAGGCGGCCUGUCAAGUCAACUGUGAAAUCUCCGGGCUUAACUCGGAACGGUCAGUUGAUACUGUCAGGCUAGAGUGCAGAAGGGGCAAUCGGAAUUCUUGGUGUAGCGGUGAAAUGCGUAGAUAUCAGGAGGAAUACCGGAGGCGAAGGCGCCUGCCUGGCAAGAUAUUGACGCUGAGGUGCGAAAGCGUGGGUAGCAAACAGG